AAAGACAAGCAAAGCUUUUAAGAUAAAGGCGAAGUAUUUUUGUCUUUAGGCGAGGCGAAUUUUAGUGAAGCAAGGGAGUUAUCGUUUGGAUAAUGACCGAAGCUGAGCGAAAAUUCAACGAAGCAUAAAGCAAAAAGACAAGCCCAAGAAAAGUAUAAAUAAUUAAGUGCAAGUGGUAGGAGAGCGUUGCAUUCAGCGUCGAAGGUGUACCGGUAAGGAGCGCUGGAGCGAAUGCAAGUGAGCAUGCAGGCAUGAGUAGCGAUAAUUGGGGUGAGAAUCCCCAACGCCGUAAACCCAAGGUUUCCUACGCGAUGCUCGUCAUCGUAGGGUUAGCCGGGUCCUAAGCAAAGUCCGAAAGGGGUAUGCGAUGGAAAAUUGGUUAAUAUUCCAAUGCCAACUAUAAUGUGCGAUGGAAGGACGCUUAGAGUUAGAGGAGCCAGCGGAUGGUAGUGCUGGUCGAAAGGUGUAGGUUAAGAUCCAGGCAAAUCCGGAUCUUUUUAAGCCCAGACCCCAUAGGCACACAAAGUUCUUCGGAACAGCGUGUGAAUCCUUGAUACUGUCGAGCCAAGAAAAGUUUCUAAGUUUAGUUAUAGUUGCCCGUACCGUAAACCGACACAGGUGGGUGGGAUGAGUAUUCUAAGGCGCGUGGAAGAACUCUCUUCAAGGAACUCUGCAAAAUAGCACCGUAUCUUCGGUAUAAGGUGUGCCUAGCUUCGUUAAGAAUUUACUUCGUAAGCGAAGAAGGUUACAACAAAGAGUCCCUCCCGACUGUUUACCAAAAACACAGCACUCUGCUAACUCGUAAGAGGAUGUAUAGGGUGUGACGCCUGCCCGGUGCUCGAAGGUUAAUUGAUGACGUUAGCUCUGCGAAGCGUUUGAUCGAAGCCCGAGUAAACGGCGGCCGUAACUAUAACGGUCCUAAGGUAGCGAAAUUCCUUGUCGAUUAAAUAUCGACCUGCAUGAAUGGCGUAACGAGAUGGGAGCUGUCUCGAAGAGGGAUCCAGUGAAAUUGUAGUGGAGGUGAAAAUUCCUCCUACCCGCGGCAAGACGGAAAGACCCCGUGGACCUUUACUACAGCUUGACACUGCUACUUGGAUAAAGAUGCGCAGGAUAGGUGGGAGGCUUUGAUUCGUAGAUCUCGGUUUACGAUGAGCCAUUGUUGAGAUACCACCCUUCUUUAUUCGGGUAGCUAGCUUGAGUUAUCCUCAAGUAGGACAAUGUCUGGUGGGUAGUUUGACUGGGGCGGUCGCCUCCCAAAAUGUAACGGAGGCUUACAAAGGUUGGCUCAAAGCGGUUGGAAAUCGCUUGUAGAGUAUAAAGGCAAAAGCCAGCUUAACUGCGAGACAUACACGUCGAGCAGAGACGAAAGUCGGUCUUAGUGAUCCGGUGGUUCUGUGUGGAAGGGCCAUCGCUCAAAGGAUAAAA
rnacentral:rRNA from 1 species